AGAGACUUAUGCCAGGGUUAAUGUUUGAUAGUUUAUUGUAGACUUUAGUCAUAGUUACACACGGAGGCGGCUCUAGACUUUUUGAGGCCUUAGGCGAAAAUCAAAUAUGAGGCCUCCCACGCGCAAUAAAAAAAAUAAGCAGGCAAUAUUAAAAUGAACUGUAUAAAUUGCAUAUUUUAAGGCAAACAUUAAUAAACCUCACAAUCUCA